rnacentral:rRNA from 1 species
UACGGAGGGUGCAAGCGUUGUUCGGAUUUAUUGGGCGUAAAGCGCGUGUAGGCGGUUUUUUAAGUCUGAUGUGAAAGCCCUGGGCUCAACCCAGGAAGUGCAUUGGAUACUGGAAGACUUGAAUACGGGAUAGGGUAGUGGAAUUCCUAGUGUAGGAGUGAAAUCCGUAGAUAUUAGGAGGAACACCGGUGGCGAAGGCGGCUACCUGGACCGAUAUUGACGCUGAGACGCGAAAGCGUGGGGAGCAAACAGGAUUAGAACCG